rnacentral:rRNA from 1 species
GACGAACGCUGGUGGCGUGCUUAACACAUGCAAGUCGAACGGAAAGGCCUGUCCUUCCUUGUGUUGGACGGGUACUCGAGUGGCGAACGGGUGAGUAACACGUGAGUGAUCUGCCCCCAACUUGGGUAUAAGCCUGGGAAACUGGGUCUAAUUCCCGAUAGGACUGCAGGGUGGUGCCUGUGGUGGAAAACGAUUUUCUAGUGGUUGGGGAUGAGCUCGCGGCCUAUCAGCUUGUUGGUGGGGUAAUGGCCUACCAAGGCGGCGACGGGUAGCCGGCCUGGGAGGGUGGACGGCCACAUUGGGACUGAGAUACGGCCCAGACUCCUACGGGAGGCAGCAGUGGGGAAUAUUGCACAAUGGGCGGAAGCCUGAUGCAGCGACGCCGCGUGGGGGAUGACGGCCUUCGGGUUGUAAACUCCUUUCGACCGCGAGGAAGCCGCCUGGUUGGAAGGGUGGUGACGGUAGUGGUAGAAGAAGCACCGGCUAACUACGUG